rnacentral:ncRNA from 1 species
AUGAUUCUUAGUUAAUCUUCAUUCAACCAUGGGUUGUUUUUGUUAUGCAAAAAAUAAGUAAAACUUAGGUUGAAUAAACUUAAGUUUUUUUAUUUUAGUUAAGAAAAAUAGACAAGUGGUGGUAGUCCGCCACUCUAAGGGGACGCCUUUAGGAGAAGAGGCUAGGGGGUAUUCCGGUGUGGGAUACUUAGUAAUAUGCAACGCUAAUUGCAUAAGAUUGUAGGACGGAAUUUACAGUCUUGGUUUUUCAAACCUGAAACUAAGUAAGC